rnacentral:lncRNA from 1 species
CUUUCAAAAAGUUCCUGUCUGCUAACUGUAAGUGUGCCUUUUAAUAUUUUUGAUUCUGAAUGCUUAUGGUUUUGGCUAUGAGCCUAGCCUUUAAGGGCUGAGCCAUUUUUCCAGCCUAGAUGCAGAUACACACAGUCAGACAUUGGAUGGAGGUUGGGCAUACUUGUGAAAAGUUUGGGAAAAGAAUUGAAGGUCCUGAAGGGGAUAGAAAUUCCACAGGAAGACCAACAGACUCAACUAAACUAGACUGCUGGGAGAUCUCAGAGACUGAACCACCAACCAAAGAACUUACACAGUGACAAUGAACUCUGUAGACCCCAAAGUGACUCCUUCCUAGACUGACACAAGAGUGAUGCAGAUACAGUAACCAGAUGCUGAUGAAUGUUUGGCCUGCUGUCUGCUUCCAGUACUUCUGGUCUUUCUCGAUGUUCAUCCCCUUUGCAAAGUCAAGGCUAGAAAUAAAUCAUUGAGGACC